GACGGAGACCGAGGCACCGAGAAGUAGUUCAGGAAGAGAGAGAAGAGAUUCAGAGACUUAAAAGGAGAAAAAGAACAGGAGGCGGCCAUUCCCAGAGACCGAUAAACAGACGGACCCAAGGAGGUGGAGGAUAGAGCCCUCUUCCCGGUCUGGCAGGAGUCUCCCCUCACUUUGAAUGGGGCCAAAGAGGUCCAGCCCACUAGGCCUCUGGGGAAGGGUGUCCCUGCGCUACUGGAGAAUCUCCCCAAGGGCUCAGCUGGGAAACACCUGUCCUUCAACAAGAGGAUUUACUGCAAACUUCAAGUCUGGCUUGUUAGAAAGCAGAAGACUGUCUACUUCCCAGGUAUGGAGCCCAGGCCCCUGAGGCAGGAAGAUGAGAAGGCCGAGGCACUGAAAGCUGGGAAGGGACACAGACUGGACUCAAAUGCUGUUUUUCUGACUCCAUUCAUUACGAGCUGGUUUCUCAACACCAAACUCGGUAGCUGUGGCCCUCGCUUUGCAGGAGUAUCUUGCAUGUGUCUAGCUCCUGAAGGGCUCCCUGGGCACCAAGUUUAGCUUCCCACCGCUGGACCCAGUAGAGCACCCCAGCCUGGGACCCAGGACCACAGGUACACCCCAGCAUGCCGACCCUCGGCCUCUGUCCUUGGCCCUGCCCAGCCGACAAGUGGGUCCAUGCUGAUCCGAGGAAUUUCCGAAGGCAGAGGGUCCUAGCCAGUCCCUGGGUGUGCUGAGUGUGGUGUGGGGGAGGGAGAAGGAGCUGGGGAGUGCCAGCUUGCUGAAUGGGGGGCCUGGGGGGGCCACCACCACCUCCUAGAAACCUACUCCCUGCACCCCAGGGCAGGGAGCAGGGGGGGACAGGGUGGGGUCUGGCAGGCUCUUCAGGAUCGGUGGGCCAGACCUCUGGGUGUUCUGUCGCUCCGGCCCCUCAGUCAAGCUGAAAAUGAGGGCGGCUUUCCGGCUGGGCCACGAACCUGUAAGCGGUCAGAUCUACCCAGAUUUCUGGCCUCAGUUCAGGUCCUCAGCCCUCCUGGGGCAUACAUUUGGGCCGCAGAGGAAGGGCGGGUGGAGACCUCCCAGCUCCGGAAACCCGGCCCCCUAGAGGGGUUCAGUCCUGGGCUGCGGCGGGGAGGGUCUUGCGGUCACCCAUAGGAGCUUGGGCCACCUCGGCUUGGACAGGUCUGGACAUUUCCGCGGGCGCUCAGGGCACGUCGGAAGCUGCAGGUGCUCCCUGAGCCGCAGCCACACUGCGCUGCGAACGGAAAACCUGGCCAGUGACGACCGCCGCUCCCGCUGAGAAGCCCUGGCCGCGGCACCUCUGCGCACCUCUGCCCGCACCUCUACCUCCGCGCUGCGGCUGCGCCCAGUGGGCGCCGCAAGUGUCCUCCGCGUAAAUGAGUUGAGCUGGAGUUGGGGUUUGAAAGGAACUGGCCAAGCUCCUCCUCCAUCAGAAAACCCCGCUGCGGGAGGCAGGGGAACGGAUUCCGCCUGGGAGACCCAGCUGCUGUGGAGGAAAUGUGUUCCACGCUCUGUCCCGACUGCAUAUGGCCCCCGCAUAUACACGAAUGGUCCCCGGCAGACACAACCAACACCCGAGGCCUUCCAGAUUCAGCGUUGGAGCAGAUCCAGCACCCUCUCUCUCAGGCUCACGCUCACAGGUCCACACUCACCCUUGCACACACACACACAUACACACACACACACACUCCCGUGUGCAAUUCUGGCAGCUGCUUGCAAGGAAGGCCUCCUUCACGCCUCCACACACAAGUACACACGGAUGUUACAAACACCGCCUUCCACCCAGAUCCCGGACUCAGAUAAAAACCACCUCCCUCCCUUCGGGUGCGCACUCUGCCGGCCACCGUGGGCCCACAAGCAGCCACACAGCUUCCCAACUUUUCUGGGGAGGCCAAAGGCAGGGAGGGAGGGGGCGGGGGAGCCGCAGGUGCCAGGAGUUGGGGUGGGGGUGGCUAAGGGGGAGGGACUGUAUCCAUAUGUAUGGGUUCCGCGCACAAAGAGCAGCUGCCCUAAACUGAGCCCCGCGGGCCCAGAGUUGCUCCGAGGCGGCAGCGGCCCCGCUAAUUGAAUUAGACCGGCCAGGCCCUGCCACCCGCGCGCCACCCGCGUCCGCUCUGCCACACGUCCCUGGCCGCCGCAGGCGCUGGUUGGGUGCCGAGGGACGGGUUGAGGGAAGGAGGCACCGCCGCCUGAGCCCCUGCCCGAGGCGUCCUCUCCCCCCGGAAAUAAUCCCAUUGUUCUGCGGGCUGCGUGUGGCACUGGGCGGCAGGGAUCCCCAACUGGACUGCGACGACGCUGUGAUUAAUGGGACAGCGGGGAGGGAGCGGACGCGGAGGGGGGGCGAAGCCCUCCGCCCAGCCCACCCGUCUCCCUGGUUCUCAGCUGCCUUCUCACUCCCUGGUUUGAGGGCCCCUUCCCCACUGGAGUCUGGGGUCUGGGGAAGUGAGCGCAGAACCGGGAGGCAGGCCGACGGGGCCACUGGAAAUUAGACCAGUUGGAUGUCUUAGUGAGGGAGGCAAGGCGGUGUGGGCAGGCACGGCUGCAUGGGUGUGUAAGGGCAUUGAGAGCUGUGAAUCCCUCUGCACUGAAUGGGGUGCUGGGGGGCGGUGUAUGAAUGUGGCUGAAGUGUAGAGUGUGGGGUUGUGAGAUAUGAAAGGGGUGUGCUCCUGCCUCUGGGGGCCAUCCCAGCCCCAAGGCCAGGGAGCUGUGCUGAGCCUCUGGCACUUCCCGGGGUCCCCAGGAAGUGCUUAGCUGGGCACCUGCCUUCUCUCAUAAUGGAUUUCCAGAAGCAGCCUCACCCGAGACCCCAGCCCCAGCCCCACCACCAGCAACUGAUGGUGUGGCUCCUGAUCGAGGCCUCCACCUCCCUGCCCCCACCUUUCUGGAUAAUGCCUUCUGAACACAGGCAUCCUUUCGUUCCGCUCUUCUCCCACUCAACGUCCUCCGCACCUCCGCUGAUCGGGUCUUUUGAGGUCUGGCUCGUAGCGCCCUAACCACAGAAAGCUUCCCCACACGUGGCUGGGAAAGAACUCCACUGCCCAAGAUGGCCCUCACAUCCCUGAGGUAGGAAGCACGUCUGCAUGUCUGUCCCGCUCUAAACUGCAAGUGCCUGGAGGCGCACCAGAGUCCCAGCUUGUCCCCCAGCACUCAUACACGCCCACAGGCGCUCUCAGGACCAGUGAGUCCUUGUUGGUGGCUCCGCCCAAGAGCUGUGGAGACCGUGGGCACACGGCCAUGCUUCUGAGGUCAUGGCGAAGUUCACCUCCUUGCCUCCUUCACCCAGAAGCAGGACACACGGUACUGGCCCCAAGUGGGUGUCGGGUGGGGGUGCCCUAGGGACCGAGCCAUGGAUUCCUAGGAGGGUGGAAGAGGACUCCCACCUCAGGGGACCGAGGGCUGCAGCAGGCUUUGGCCACCCAGUGGUCAGCACUGAUACUGAGACCCUGCCCCGGCAAGGACCUCUGGCCCUCAGGCUUCCUGCCUGAUGUUGCCCUCCACCUGCCCACUGAGCUCUGCCAAGCCACCCAGGUUAUGCAGUCAAGGCAAGGUCCCCUAGAAAUCCAACGAGGGUGGGAGCGGGCCAAAGCUAGGGCUUCAAGCCCACCGGAAGGGGUCAGUGCAUCUGGCAGGGACCAGGACCCUCUGGAGGAGUAACACCAAGGACAGCGGUGUGGCUGGCGUCUCCACCCACACCCCUUUGCUCUGAUACUCAAGGCUCUGGAGAGGCGGUGGGGGUGGGGGCUCUGGGCCAGGCUGGGCAUCCUGGUAGGGCACCCUGAGAGCGCUAGGCGCCAGCACUGCCCACCCUCUCAGGCCCAGGGCCAGGCCUCCGCGGCCCUUACUGUAUUUCCCGGGACUUUUACUGCAGCGCCAAGAUGAGCAGUGACAUCCCCUCUCCCCUUUCAUAAAUAUUGCAUCUUUGCAAUGCAAUUACAGGAGACGGAGCGGCAUGAGCAUUUACUAAAUAAGAUUAUGGGGUAAUGCUAAUGCAGUUUAUGUCUGCGCUCUGACACCAGACAAACUCCCUAUUAAUAACCUCUCAAUGAGGCGCGAGGCUCAGAAAGCAGAGCCUGGGGCUGCCCAGGGCUGUGCACUAGCUCGGCAUGGUCACAGCAUGGCCACUCCAUGCUGGGGGGGGGGGGGUGGGGGCUCCCGUGGCUCCCACCCUCCUCUCUGGGCCUCUUGGCUUGGAGUUCCUUCCACACUCCUUAGGAGGCAACCUUACUUACCCUCCAACCCUCACGCCCAGAGUCUUACUGCCACCCCAGCUUCCUCCACUUCCCUUCUUUUUCCUGGCUGGCACCUCACCCCUCUCUUUGGAAUUCACCCUGCUGGAGAGGCCCAAUCCCCCCCCACCCCCUCACACCCUCACAAAGGACAUGCAAGGCACAUUCUUCUCUGGCUUAGAAACCACUCGCCAUUGCCUAUAGGAAAAUCCAAGCCCUUUAUCCCACCAUUCAAGGCCUUCAACUUGCGGCUUCAUUGGUAGUACCCUCCCCCAAUCCCUGGCUACCAUUCACCAUUUUGUAUCAGUUGAGACAAAUUCUCUCACACCUUUCCACUGACCGCCAUCUCCUCAGUGCAAUGCCCUGGCAACAACCAUUUCUCUCCUAUCCCAACCACACACACACACACACACACACACACACAUACACACACCCUACUCCUACUGUAUGUUGGGUUCUGUGCUGG